UCUUGCGCAAUGGACGAAAGUCUGACGCAGCCACGCCGCGUGAGUGAAGAAGGCCUUCGGGUUGUAAAGCUCUGUUGCCCGGGACGAAAAGGUUUACGGUGAAUAGCCGUAGAUCCUGACGGUACCGGGAAAGGAAGCACCGGCUAACUCUGUGCCAGCAGCCGCGGUAAUACAGAGGGUGCAAGCGUUGCUCGGAAUCAUUGGGCGUAAAGGGUAGGUAGGUGGUCUCGUUUGUCUAGGGUGAAAGCCUUGAGCUUAACUCAAGAAGUGCCCUAGAAACGGCGAGACUAGAGUCCUGGAGAGGGUCGUGGAAUUCCCGGUGUAGCGGUGAAAUGCGUAGAGAUCGGGAGGAACACCAGAGGCGAAGGCGGCGACCUGGACAGGUACUGACACUCAACUACGAAAGCGUGGGGAGCAAACAGG
rnacentral:rRNA from 1 species